rnacentral:lncRNA from 1 species
GUUCCAGGCAAUCCUUUUCCUAUAUUUCCAGUUUUUAAUUAUUGUUUGUAUUUAUAUUAUAUAGUUGUAAAGAAGAUUCCAUUAAUUAAUAAUGAGUAUUAAUAAUAUUAAUAAUGAAUGAAUGAUCACUAUAUAUAUAUAUGAUAAUAAUGUUCCCGGUCGUCUAUGACUCUAACUAAAACGAUAUUACAUUGAAAUUAUCUUCCUCCAAGGCCAAGGUAAAAAGGUGCACCAGUGUGCUUCAACCAAAGAUAUCCAUUAAUCCAGCGGUCGACUGUGUAUUGAACCGCUUCAAGUGGGUUAAUAAGACGGAAGUUCUUGAAGCUCUUGUUCCUGUUAUUGAUGUUUGCACCGGGUCCGCGGUUGGCAAACUCGUAGUAAUUACAUGUCCGCUCGAAUGAUUCUCCUUGCCAUAUCAUCCAACCUUCUGGGCGGAUGAAAUCACCCAAUUCGCUCUCCAUGAAUACAGUGGUUGCAUAAGGCUUCCAGGGACGCCCCAAGUAUGAUGCCAGCUUGAACCUAUCUGCAAACAAUUCCAUUUCUGGAACGAUUCUGCAGUUCUGGAACACCAAACCACCUGGUUUGUUUGCUAUUUCUUUGCCAUCAGCGGUGAUGGUGUUGAACUGGCUGUCCAAAGGUCUCCUCGCUAUGAUCAAACUGUUUUGGAUUACUGCUGACCCCCUUCCAAAUAUGAAAUCUAUCGUACCAGAGAUGACACAGUUGCGGUAAAAUUGGCGAUGGUUUUGAUAGUACAAGGUGUCUUGAUAACCUUCAAUGCUGCAGUCAAAAACAGCAGCCAUAUCACCGUUAAUUCGAAGAGCCACAGCUUGGUGACCUUGUGGACCAGCAGUGUUGCGGAAGGUAAUUCCCCUUGCAACGAACCCAUUGCCAAGAACAGCAAAAGUAGCAGUGUCUUGGGUGGGUAUUUUCAUGAUACCAAAGUUUCUAUGUCCAGUAAUAAUGGUUUUCCCUGCUCCAUCGCCAUAGAUGAAGACGUUUGGUUGCUUCUUGGAGAUGAUGACUUGCUCCUCAUAGAUACCAGCUUUAACAUACACUAUGUAUUUGCCUCUAUGGUUUUUAGGAUAGGCAG